rnacentral:rRNA from 1 species
GACGAACGCUGGCGGCGUGCUUAACACAUGCAAGUCGAACGAAGUGGCGAACGGGUGAGUAACGCGUAAACAACCUGCCCUUCAGAGGGGGAAAACAGUUGGAAAAGACUGCUAAUACCGCAUACUGAAGGAGGGGAGUGCGUCUGAUUAGGUAGUUGGGGGGGUAACGGCCCACCAAGGCGCUGAUAGGUAGCCGGUCUGAGAGGAUGAACGGCCACAUUGGUACUGAGACACGGCCCAGACUCCUACGGGAGGCAGCAGUGGGGAAUCUUCCGCAAUGGACGGAAGUCUGACGGGGCAACGCCGCGUGAGUGAUGACGGCCUUCGGGUUUUAAAGCUCUGUUAAUCGGGACGCGGUACCGGAAUAGAAAGCCACGGCUAACUACGUGCCAGCAGCCGCGGUAAUAC